rnacentral:rRNA from 1 species
CCUACGGGAGGCAGCAGUGGGGAAUUUUCCGCAAUGGGCGAAAGCCUGACGGAGCAACGCCGCGUGAGGGAUGAAGGCCUCUGGGCUGUAAACCUCUUUUAUCAAGGAAGAAGAUCUGACGGUACUUGAUGAAUAAGCCACGGCUAAUUCCGUGCCAGCAGCCGCGGUAAUACGGGAGUGGCAAGCGUUAUCCGGAAUUAUUGGGCGUAAAGCGUCCGCAGGCGGCCUGACAAGUCUGCUGUUAAAGCGUGGAGCUUAACUCCAUUUCAGCAGUGGAAACUGUCAGGCUUGAGUGUGGUAGGGGCAGAGGGAAUUCCCGGUGUAGCGGUGAAAUGCGUAGAUAUCGGGAAGAACACCAGUGGCGAAAGCGCUCUGCUGGGCCAUCACUGACGCUCAUGGACGAAAGCCAGGGGAGCGAAAGGGAUUAGAUACCCCUGUAGUCCUGGCCGUAAACGAUGAACACUAGGUGUCGGGGGAAUCGACCCCUCCGGUGUCGUAGCCAACGCGUUAAGUGUUCCGCCUGGGGAGUACGCACGCAAGUGUGAAACUCAAAGGAAUUGACGG